AUUGAACGCUGGCGGCAGGCCUAACACAUGCAAGUCGAACGGUAACAGGAAGAAGCUUGCUUCUUUGCUGACGAGUGGCGGACGGGUGAGUAAUGUCUGGGAAACUGCCUGAUGGAGGGGGAUAACUACUGGAAACGGUAGCUAAUACCGCAUAACGUCGCAAGCCCAAAGAGGGGGACCUUCGGGCCCCUUGCCAUCGGCUUUGCCCAGAUGGGAUUAGCUAGUAGGUGGGGUAACGGCUCACCUAGGCGACGAUCCGUAGCUGGUCUGAGAGGAUGACCAGCCACACUGGAACUGAGACACGGUCCAAACUCCUACGGGAGGCAGCAGUGGGGAAUAUUGCACAAUGGGCGCAAACCUGAUGCAGCCAUGCCGCGUGUAUGAAGAAGGCCUUCGGGUUGUAAAGUACUUUCAGCGGGGAGGAAGGGAGUAAAGUUAAUACCUUUGCUCAUUGACGUUACCCGCAGAAGAAGCACCGGCUAACUCCGUG
rnacentral:rRNA from 1 species